rnacentral:lncRNA from 1 species
GUGAUCUCGGAAACGCGAGGGGAGGCUUCGUUUGAGUGGGGAAGCAUUUGGAGACCGUUCGGAAAGGAAAAGAUCCGGUACCGUGAGCUGGAGCACGCGUGAUCGGCUUUCAGGUAGGCUAUGGCUUUCUCUCGUGAACAGUACCCGGUUAGAGUCCGUGGUCCAGCUUACUUAUGUCCAGGCUUAGCUACAGUACCCGGUUAGAGUCCGUGGUCCAGCUUACUUAUGUCCAGGCUUAGCUACAGUACCCGGUUAGAGUCCGUGGUCCAGCUUACUUAUGUCCAGGCUUAGCUACAGUACCCGGUUAGAGUCCGUGGUCCAGCUUACUUAUGUCCAGGCUUAGCUACAGUACCCGGUUAGAGUCCGUGGUCCAGCUUACUUAUGUCCAGGCUUAGCUACAGUACCCGGUUAGAGUCCGUGGUCCAGCUUACUUAUGUCCAGGCUUAGCUACAGUACCCGGUUAGAGUCCGUGGUCCAGCUUACUUAUGUCCAGGCUUAGCUACAGUACCCGGUUAGAGUCCGUGGUCCAGCUUACUUAUGUCCAGGCUUAGCUACAGUACCCGGUUAGAGUCCGUGGUCCAGCUUACUUAUGUCCAGGCUUAGCUACAGUACCCGGUUAGAGUCCGUGGUCCAGCUUACUUAUGUCCAGGCUUAGCUACAGUACCCGGUUAGAGUCCGUGGUCCAGCUUACCUGUGAUCUGGUUUUGGCUACAGUACCCUGUUCGAGUCCGUGGUCCAGCCCACCCGUGCCCGACCUUUGGCUACAGCACCCGGUUCGAGUCCGUGGUCCAGCUUGCACGUGGUGUAUUCCCAAUUCCUCACUAAAGCUUCAGUUUAGUCUUGAUUACUCUCAUCUGUAGGUUGAGGUUUUGGAGGUUGAAGAGAUUCCGGUUAAAGUCCGGGACGUAAUGAGAUCUUGGAAUAUGAUUGGGAAUGGUUCAGUUAAAAGUCCGGAAAUUGGUAAUAUUGUGAUAGACCUUCUAGCUCCAUUAUUUUACUUCAACUGCCGGUCCAUCUGCCGGGCUUAUGGGGGUCCGUGCAGGUGGUUUCUUUUAUUGUGCACGAGCGUACCCGUCGGGUUUAUGGGAGCCCGGCGGAGUUAGUUAGAUUGCUUGUCUUUGUUGCCUGUACGCUCGUGUACAUACCCCCUAUUUACUACUCUUUGCACUUGAUGUGACCCUUUAUUUGCAUUUCAGUUUACUUUUGCUUAUCUUGCUCAGUCGGCCGAUGAUGCCUACUGGGUACCUGUUGUUUUGGUACUCAUGCUACGCUCUGCAUCUAUUUUGUGAUGCAGGUCCGAGCACUAGUAGCCAGCGUUGAUCUAGCUUGGAGUAGACUUAUCCGGAGACGGGGGUGAGCACACGGCGUUUUGUACUAUUUCAGUCUCCAUCUGUAUAUAUAGACUUGUCUUUUUCCUUUCGAGACAGUCCAGUCUCUGUUGUCCGGUUUUAGGACUUGUACUCAUUUUGUAGUAGCUCUGUACUAGUGACUUCCAGGUUCUGGGAGGGAUCUUUAUUUGUAAAUAUGUUUUUGGUUUGCGUCCGCCUGUUUAUAUUGUUAUUUGCCUACUCUUGUUUAAUUUCUACCCUCAGACCCGUUACUUGUUGUUCCGGGUUACGAGUUGGCUUACCUGCUGGUGGGUUAUAGUAGGUGCCAUCAUGACUCGAUAAAUCGGGUCGUGACAAAAAUGAUACCAGAUAUUUUCCAUUGUUAAAUCAUAUGGCAACUUGGUUUCAAUGAUAAUGAAGCAGAGAGAGGGAGAAAAGAGAAACCGUUAGUUUUUUUGACAGAGUUAGAGUUUAGGACUAAAAUGAUAACAUAUUGUAUACAUGAAGGACUAUUUCAAUCAAG